UACGAAGGGGGCUAGCGUUGCUCGGAAUCACUGGGCGUAAAGGGUGCGUAGGCGGGUCUUUAAGUCAGGGGUGAAAUCCUGGAGCUCAACUCCAGAACUGCCUUUGAUACUGAAGAUCUUGAGUUCGGGAGAGGUGAGUGGAACUGCGAGUGUAGAGGUGAAAUUCGUAGAUAUUCGCAAGAACACCAGUGGCGAAGGCGGCUGUCUGGUCCGGUUCUGACGCUGAGGCGCGAAAGCGUGGGGAGCAAACAGG
rnacentral:rRNA from 1 species